rnacentral:ncRNA from 1 species
AACCACCCGCGUCGGCUACUCCACCCAAUAGCCGCCGUGAGGAACAUGAAAGGAUCGUUCCCGCCCUGACCGGCGGUGCGGCAGUGUGGAGACCUGCCGUAAAGCGCCAGAGCGGCGCGAGGCCCUGCGCGCGGAGGCGGCAGAGCCGCGGUCAGAGAAUAUGGCA